rnacentral:rRNA from 1 species
AGCAGCCGCGGUAAUUCCAGCUCCAAUAGCGUAUAUUAAAGUUGUUGCAGUUAAAAAGCUCGUAGUUGAAUUUCGGGAUCAAUACGUCGGUCGUGCUUUCGGGUACGUACUGGCGUCAUUGGUUUCUCCUUUCUGACGAACCAUGAUGUCAUUAAUUUGGUGUUAUGGGGAGUUAGGACUGUUACUUUGAAAAAUUAGAGUGUUUAAAGCAGGCAUUAGCUUGAAUACAUUAGCAUGGAAUAAUGAAAUAGGACGUUCGAUCCUAUUUUGUUGGUUUCUAGGAUCAACGUAAUGAUUAAUAGGGAUAGUUGGGGGCAUUAGUAUUCAAUUGUCAGAGGUGAAAUUCUUGGAUUUAUUGAAGACUAACUACUGCGAAAGCAUUUGCCAAGGAUGUUUUCAUUAAUCAAGAACGAAAGUUAGGGGAUCGAAGACGAUCAGAUACCGUCGUAGUCUUAACCAUAAACU